rnacentral:lncRNA from 1 species
CCAGAAGACUAAUCCAGAAAAAUAAAGUUUCCGAUGCCAAGAAACUGAAUGACAUAAAAAGAGACAUGGCCCAGCUAGAAUGGUAUAAGAAGAAAUCGGAAAUGGGUUACUACGAUUGCUUCAAAAACCAGGGGUCUAAAAGGGACCUCAACGUUGAACAGUUUAGGGGAAACCUCACAAUGUACUGGGAAGACAUGGUUGCACAAGUACAGAGGAAGCCCCAGGAGGAAGGAGCAACAUUUCGAACCCGUUGGUUCUAUGCAGGGACAGUUUAUAGGAGAAUGGUUGAACCACUGGACAUUGCUGCCUUCUAUAGAGAGGGUGGAACAGACUACAUAAACAAUGGAAGAUCUCUUCAUUACAAGCUGUUGCAGCAAUGGUAUGAAGAAGAUGUGAAACCCCCCUCUAGAGAUAAGCUUGAUUCCAAGAAGCAAAAGGUGUCUGGUAUCCUAACUGAGGAUUCUUUGUUUUGGGCACAUGUGGAGGAGGCCAUCUUGUCAUGCGAAUUGCUCAAGAGUAAAAACUGUACUCUUGAGCAGGGAAAAUCAUCAUGGGAUAAUCUAGUUAAGUUCGAGGAGUAUGUAAUGGAACAGAUUAACAACUAUGCAGCGUCCCCUGAGAUUUUCUUGCGGGAAAGCAGCUUCAUGAAAUGGUGGGGACUGUAUGAGGGCUACAUAGAUACUUGCAGUAAUUCCCAUGGGUCGCAAUUGAUCAACUUCAUGAAGAAACGUAGCUAUAUGAAGUAUGGUUAGAGGGGCAAUCCAGUUUGUGUGUUGUGUUUAUUGUUUUGUGAGCGUUCAAUGGAUAAAACUAGAAAGAGUGUGACCUUUUUCCCUUUUUCUUGGUUGCUGCCCAUAUUCUCAGCACUAUUUUCUUCCUUCUUUUCCUCUGUUUUUUUUGAUAGGAAAUGAAUAUUAUGAUGUUGCUGGGAUGCACUUNNNNNNNNNNNNNNNNNNNNNNNNNNNNNNNNNNNNNNNNNNNNNNNNNNNNNNNNNNNNNNNNNNNNNNNNNNNNNNNNNNNNNNNNNNNNNNNNNNNNAGGGGAAGAAAAACAUGUUUGUUUAGAUUCAACUCCACCAAAACUUGCAACAACUUCCCAUUGAAAAUUUCCUUUUAAGCUUCUGACUGACAUAAAACUAGAUAUGUUCCAGCUAGAACGGUACAAGAAAGAAAUCAAAAGAUGAGCACAAGUAGAGAGGAAGCCUCACCAGGAAGGGGCAGCUUUGCAAACCCUCUGGCUCUGUACAGGAACGAAUUAUAGAAAGAUGGUUGAACCACUUGACAUUGCUGCCUACCACAGAGAGGGUGGAAGACACUACAUAACCAAUGGAGGAUCUAAACAUUACACGCUAUUGGAGCAAUGAUGCAAUGAAGAGGAGAAGGGGGCUUUGUCUUCUCAUGCAAAUUGCUCUCAGAGCUCAGAACCUACUCCUGAAGGGAAAGAAUCAUCAUGGAGUGAUCUGGUUAAGUUUGAGGAUUUAUUUAUAUAAUUGAACUGAUUGGAAGCUAUGCAGUGUCGGCCCCCGCCCGAGCAGCUUCAUGAAACGGUGGAAAGAGUUGGAAGAAGUCAUAGAUACUUGCUAUAGGAGCUUCAUGAAGUAUGGAGAGGUGUGGCAUAGAUACUUGCAGUCUCUGAAUUUCCCAAAUCCAAUUUCAGAUUGUGUUUUUAGAUUCGUGGAACUUGUUUUCGGGCUUUUUGUUAGGUACAAUUGAGAUGGGCUGAACCGAAAGGCCCGCCAGGAUGAACAAUAUAAUGGGCCUGAAUUUUAAACCAGUGGAUGGGUUUUGUACUGGAUUCAGCUGUCUGAGCCCAAUGAGUAUUGAAUGUGUUUCUGUAUAAAAUUAAAUUUUUAACAUUGAAAUAUAAGGACUUACUUAAAAACACAUUUGGUAACUUUUUUUUUUUUUGGUUAAUAAUAAAUUUUUUUAAAAAAAAUUAAAAAUAUAUAAUUUUUUUAGAAUAAAUUUGAGGCAUGUUUAGGUAUUUUUUGUGGUAAAGAGUUUUGAGAAGCAAUGAGAAAUAUACAGAAUACUUUAAAAACUUUUGCAUAAGUAAGAUACUUACACGAGGCUUUUAUGAAAAAUAAAUCGAUAAAAACAAUUUUUAUAUUUGAAUUUCAAAACAUAAAACAACUUAGAACUGUUUUUAAAAACUGUUCUUAAAAAUAGUUUUCUAUUAACUCACAUUCAAGGAUGCUUUUAUCUUUUAUUUUUCUAUGUUUCAUCCUUGCAUAAAUGGAGUACAAAGUCGUAAGUUAAUCUAAUUAACAAAUAUAGAUAAUCAUCCGAUAAAUGAGUAAAUUAGGUGAUGAUCUCUUUAUAUAUGCAAGUAAUGGAAUGAAUGUGAUAAAAAAAUAAAAUAAAAAAGUAAGGGGAGAAAUGUUGUAAAUAAAAUGUUUUUAUUGUGGUUCAACGACCUAUCCACUUCCACACCUUGACAUAUUUCACAAUUUUAAAAGUUUUUUUAAUCAUGAUUCUCCUUAUUGUUCUUUAAGUCUGGAUUUCUUAAGUUUCAAUAGACUUUUACAAUCACUAAGAUGACGUUUGUUUUUUCACUUAAUUCUAAAUAUAAGUUAAAACUAAAUAAUAUUUAAUAAUAUCAAGUAUUAGGUUGUUUUUUUUAUAACAUUUUAUUUCUAUAUAAUAUUAAAAAGUAAAGAAAAAUCAGUAUGUUUUUUUUUUAUUUAAAAAAAGUCAAAUAUUUUGACUUUUUUUUAAGCUAAAAAUUUAUAAUAAAAAAUAAAAAAUAAACAAACAAACAAACAACUUGAAGUGUAAAAACAGAUUGUUUUCAAUAAAAAUUUUAAAAAAUAAACACCUUAUAAAUAAAAUUCCUUAACCACUCGUACAAUAGCUUCUUUAAGCACAAAAUGUAUUGAAGCGCUCACAAUGAAAAGAUAAACAAGUUUGGAUUUAAUAUAAUUUUGGGUUAUCUAAUUAAAAAGGUGUAGACCCCCGGAGGCAGACAGUUUUUUUAGUUAUUAUUAUUAUUUGUUUAUUUUUAAUUUUUCCUACCUUUUUCUUCCCAAGCCGCUCGACAUGAUGGGACUAAAGUGGGCUGGUUUUUGGGGCAGAGAGGGGACUCAAGUGGGCGUUUUUUUUUUUUUUUGGGCGGCAGAUGGGAUGGUGUACGGGGGAUGGCUUGUGGAGGAAGACUCAAAACAGGGGAAGGAAGCGAAAGAAAGGCAGGAAAAAAAGUGUUGGAGGACGGGGGGGAUACCUUGCUCAAGGAGAAAACUUUCAGGUAAAAUUUUCUGUGAACUCCAUGUUUCUUCGUUAUGACAUUAUUGUGCUCACUUCUUUUGUUGAUUCCAGGAUGUGAUUUGUUGGUCGGUUUGGAUGUCAUGGAUUAUUGGUUUAUUUUUGCUGAAUUUAUCCGUGUGCGGAGGUGCUCUGUUUGACUCUAUUCUGGUUUCCCUAACUCCUUCCAUAAGCACCUGAAUGUAUGAAUUCAUCCCUGAGCCCGAUUAUAUAAAAAUCAUGCUUUGUUCCCUGUGGUUUCUUCCCUCUGUUUGUUGCUCUAUUCCUUGUUGGUUGUGGGAAUGAGGUCAUCGAUGGCCAGGUUAUCGAAACUGGGGAAGUGACUUCGUGAACGGAUCACCUUCUAUGCACCCAUCUCAUCUUUCUCAUUCACUCAUCACGGCUACACUUCCAUGAUUACACCAUCCUCAGUCAAAUACAUAUCUCCAUACCCAUUUUUCACCUUUCCCGUACCUUCCUCACCUAUCCAUCACACCCAUCGUCAUAUCUAGUUCAUCACUAACCCAUUUUCCUCUCGCCAGCCGUGGUUAUGCUUCGUCCAUCUCAUGCAUACGAUCCCUCACUACUAUUCCUAUAUUCUCAUCCUUCCAAACUCCUCAACACAACACCUAACCCUCAUACCUGCACCCCGCCAUGCCCGCGCCUAGCUCACCCCCAUAGGAACCUCAAAGCCGUUCGCCUACUUGCAUGGGAGCCAUGCAUGCCGCCCCUCCCCGCGUCUUCCUGCACCGGCUAUGUGCGCGCCUGCACCAGCCACCAAUGGCGGCAGCGCCUUCUGGACGUCGCCAGGCCGCUGCCACCUGCUCCGGCAACGCGCGCGCCUGCACCAGCAGCCAUGGCGGCGGCACCUUCUGAACGUCACCAGACCGCCGCCACGGCUCCCCUCUUCCCCGCGCCGCCGCUGCUCCUCUUUUCCCCGCGCCGCCAUGGCUCUCCUCUUCAUCGUGCCGCCGGUGGAGUCUUCGCGGGUGGAGAGGCAAUUGGUGAAGAGAAGCUUUGCCCAUGAUGGUUUUUGGGCUUGGGUUUGAACUGGGAACCCAGGCCCAAGCCUAUGAAGAGAAGCCCAGGUUUAUGAAGGCUUUAAUUGCCUUGGGCUUGCCCAUUAAUAUCAUAUGGAUUGGGCUUGAUGAGGAUGGGGCUUAUUGGUGGAUUUGGGCUUGACUAGGUUUGGGCUUUAUUAGGGUUGCUGAUGGACUGGGUUUGGGCUCUAUUAUUAUUAUUAAUUCAACAUUUAAAAUACUAUUAUUAUCAUUGUUAUUAAUCAAACUUUUAAAAAUCUUAUUAUUACUAUUAUUAUUAUUACGUUUAUCAUUAUUAUUAUUUCUAUUCAACAUUUAAAAUAUUAUUAUCAUUAUUAUUAUUAAUUCAACAUUUAAAAUAUUAUUAUUAUCACUAUCAUUAAUCCAAACUUUCAAAACCCUAUAAUUAUUAUUACUAACCCAAAUUUCAAAAUCUAUUUAUUUAUUAUUAUUUAUUAUUAUCAUUAAUCCAAAUUUCAAAAUCUAUUUAUUAUUGUUAUCCUUAUCAUUAAACCCAACCUCCAAAAUCUCAUCAUUAUCAUUAUUAUUAAUUCAAACUUUCAACACCUAUUUAUUAUUAUUUAUUAUUAUCAUCAGUCCAAACCUCCAAGAUCUCAUCAUUAUUAUUAUAAUUAACUCAACUUUCAAAAUUUAUUUAUUAUUAUUAUCAUCAUUAAUCCAAGCUUUCAAAAAUCUCAUCAUUAUUGUUAUUAUUACCUCAACUUUCAAAAUCUUAUUUUUAUUAUUAUCAUUGAUUAAAACUUUCAAAACCUUAUUAUUAUUAUUAAUUCAAACUUUCUAACUUCCAAUUUCCAAGCCCAAUUUAUAAAAAUUCAACCUUCAAAUGAUACUCCAAAAUUCCGAUCUUUAAAACUCAAUUUCGAUUUCCGAAAAUUCUCAUACUCACUUUAAUCUAUUUAAUUAUUGUUAUUUUGAUUAUUUAUUUCAAAACCCCAUUUCAAAUCAAAUUCUCUAAAACUUCUGAUUCUCGAAUUAAAUUCCUAAUCCCAAAAAUUCUCAUGUUCGCACUAAAUUAUUUGAUCAUUGAUAUUUUAUUUAUUUAUUUAUUUCAAAACUCCAUUUUAAAUCAAAUUCUCUAAAACUUCUGAUUUCCGAAUUAAACUCCUAAUCCCAAAAAUUCUCAUGUUCUCAUUAAUUUAUUUAAUCAUUAGUAUUUUAUCUCCAUUUUAAAUCAACUCUUUAAAACUUCAGAUUUACAAAUUAAAUUCCUAAUCUUGAAAAUUCCCAUAUUCACAUUAAUUUAAUCACUAAUAGUUUGUUUAUUUAUCUUAAAAUUCUAUUUUAAACAAUUCUUUAAACUUUCUAACUUCUAAAUCUAAUUUCCAAUUUCAAAAAUUCCAGCAUUCCAUUCAUUUAUUUAAUCAUUAUUUUCGUCCUUAUUAUUAUUAGUCCAUUUAUUUACUUCAAAAUUUCAUUUUUAAACAUUUUUUUGAAUCCCAAUUUUCGAACUUAAUUUCCAAUUUCUAAAAUUCUAAUUUCCUUCAAGUUUGACAUCCCAAAAUUCCAACUCUUAAAUUUAAUUCUCAAGACUCCAAUCUUCAAAUAAUUUUCGAGACUCCAAUUUCCAAAUAAAUUUCAAAAAUUCAAUUUUCUCUCUAACAGUUUUAAUUCUCUUCGGGUUUCAAAUAAUCUUCGAUUUCUCUUGAUUUUAUAUAAACAUGAAUGCUAUUUUCAUAAUUCCAGAAUAAUGGGAUUUGUGAUAUUAAUUCCUGCAAAAAUGAAUGGGCUUUGGUGGGGGCCCAACAUACGUGCUUUCCUCAUGAUUGAUUGAUUGUUUGAUUGAUUUAAUUGCCAUGCGUGCUUGAUUUUAUUCUGCUCUAUGGCAUGCCCGAAAUUAUCCUUUAAUUGUGCACUAACCUCACUUUUUGAUAAGCGCAUUGUGGCUCGUCACCCAGGUACGUAUCUAUCCCCAUUCUGAUAUUUCCAUAUACAUGUUUUGAUUCUCCUAUGUGCAUGAUAGUUCCGGGUAUUCAUUGUUUUUCCUCAUCAAUUGCCAUGAUUGCUUCAUUUUAUUAGUAGAGACCCAUUUAGGGACUUAGAGGGGUGCUACGGUUCAUACCGUACCUUCCUGAUAAGUAACCUGACCCUCGGACCCGAUCCGGUUUUUCACAGACCACCUUUUCCAAAGUAAGGAGUCACACUUAGGGUUUUUCUUUCUUAUUUUGUUUACCCUUUUAAAAAUAAAACAAAAAUAAGUGGCGACUCCAAGUCAUUUUCUUAAACAAUAAAAAAUCAAAUUUUCAAAUAAAAAUCGAGUCCGCCAUUGAGUGGGAAACGCAUGAGCCGAAAUGCGGGGUCCACAAAAGGUCAUUGAAAACCCAAUUUUAGAAAUAUAACCCUUCAUCAUUUUUUUUAUCUCAUGUUAACAAAAAUGCUCUUAUUAUUUUCUUAUAAAAAUAAUCAUUUCUUUUAAAACACACUAUAAAUACUCCAAAUAGUCAGGGGCUUUUAUGUAUAAAAAAAUGAAUUACUCUUUAAAUAAAAAUAUUGGAGGGAAUAAAUUAACAAAUAUGAGGUAUUUCAUCCCUUUUAUCUAAUUAUUUCUAUAAUUUUAAGAGUUUAAGAAGGCUAGACAAAGACUAAUUAUUAGGCACAUUUUGUAAAAACACUAGUUAUUAGACACAUUUUUCGCUCAAUCAAUCAAUCACGGAGUUGACUAGACACUAAUUAUUGGACUUUUUUUUUUUUUUUUUUAUAAUAAGUGAAAGACAAGAAUACAAUCGACUACUUUGGUCAAUUAAACAAUCAUUCAGUUGACUAUAAACUAAUCUUUAGAUUUUUUUUUUUAUAAUAAUUGGAAGACAUGAAUACAAUCGAUUACUUUGAUUAAUUAAUCAAUUAUUCAAGAAAUUUAGAAAAAUAUUGGAUAAAAGAUAUAUAUAACGGAUUAUUUCAAAUUGAAACUUAAGAUUAUAAAUCUUACUUUUAAUGUUGAAAAAUCAUGUAAAACACAAGUUUUUAUCUUUGAAGUAAUCAAUUUCAUUUUUCACAAAAAAUCAUUAAUAAUGCAUGAAUGAAUUCUUUUAAAAAAUCUUAUAAAAAAUGUGAUUAUUUUUCAUUCCCAAAUACUUAGGUUCUAAAGAUCAAUUUUAAAGCAUACUUAUCCUUACUAUGCCUUACAAGAAAAUCUAUUCUAUACAUAUGAUCUUGUAAAAAAAUGUAAAUAAAAAAAUAAAAUAAAAUAAAAAGAAAAAAAAAAGCCUCUCUUGUUUUCCUCUUUUGACUGGAUAUCAUUACCAUACCUAAAAUUAAAUAUUUAAUUAAAAUAUUAUUUUACUAUCAUCAAAAUUUAGAUUUAACCAAACUUUAGGCUAGUAUGUUGAUACGAUAAGUUAAUUUUCUAUCUUAAAGUUUUAAAAACUUUUGAAAUUAAACAUUUUCUUACACAUUUAUUUUUAAAGUUUUUUAGCAUAAAAUUUAAAAUUGAAGCUUUUAAGGGAAAACCUCAUAAUAUAAUAUACUAGAAAGACAUGGUCAAACAAAUAGAGACGAAGCCUCAAAAGGAAGGGGCAAUGGUUGAACCACUUGACAUUGUUGCCUACUACUAAGAUGGUGUAAGAAACAACAUAACCAAUGGAACAUAUGCACAUUAAACAUUGUACAAUUAUUAUAAAUGUCUUAUACAUUAUGUGUGAAAAUACGAAAUAAAUAAAUAAAAUUAUAUUCAACAUUUAUAUUUGUAUACAAACAAUAUUUUCGAUAGUUUGAUAUAAAAAAACAAAUAAAAAAAUGAAGAAAAGCAUAUAAAUAUAUUUUCAAUGGACAAACUUAUUCAAUUAGUAUAAAUAUCUUGUAUAUUUAAUACAAAUACCUUAUACUUUGUGAAAAUGUAAAAAUAUAGUAUUUGAUAUUUAUAAAUGUGGGUAAGUAAUUUUUCUAAUGGUUUGAUUUAAAAAAAAAAUAAUGAGAAUCAAGAAAUACAUGCAAAUAAAUUAGUGUGAAUGAUAAAGGAUGUUUUUUUACCAUAAAUUUUCAUGGACUUAGCAUCAAUUAUGCAUCUAUAGAUGUUAACCCAAUUAGCAUAAUGUGAAAACCCUUACACACAAUAUAUAAACCCUAUACUUGAAUUAGGAAGGACAAAAAAAAAAUAGUUAGAGCAUUUGGUACCAUCAAUGAUGACUUCACCUAAAGAAAAGUUAAUGAACAUUAUGUUCUCAAUGGAAGAGCAACCCUAGUAGGACAUAUGGAGUAAAUUGAUGCUCUUCUUUCGACAACGAAGUAGCUAAGUCAUGAAAAUGGGGUUUUGCUAACAACAUUAAAUGCAAGAAUUCCCCAAUAUACUGCAAUUCAUAUUCAAUUCAUAGACUUUCAACUAACUACUCUCAAUAACGAGCAAACCCAAGUCAAUACAUAAGAUUGAUUAUUACUUAUGAUAAUUGAAACCAUAAUUAAUAAGACAUAUAUAUAUAUAUAUAUAUAUAUAUAUAUAUAUAUAUAUAUAUAUAUAUAUAUAUAUAUAUAUAUAUAUAUAUAUAUAUAUAUAAAAAAAAUAGAGACAAUUGUGUUUUGGAUCCAGGUGGAUCAAAAAAUAAGGUUUGGUUUAUAGAACUUACAUAAUUGAUGGAAAUGAUAUAAGUUAUCAAAAGACCAAAAUACUCAUUGACCUUUCACGUAAGUUUUUUUGGUCUUUAUUGUACCACUAUUCAUGCAACCAUAAUAAUUUUAUUUUAACUAUUUGGAUUUUUCAUUGUUUUUUAAAACUUUUUUUUUUAUAAAUAAUUGAAAAUCAACAUUAUUUUCUAUUUUAAAUUAUAAAUAAAGAAAAAUUACGUUCAAAAACUAUUUUAAAAAAUACUUUCUAAAAAAAUGGUAAUAUGAUUUAUAUUUUUUACAUUUUCUAUUAGAAAAAAAUAUUUAAUUAAAAAUGAAAAAUAAUUUUUAAAAAUAAAAAUUGAAAACCUUGUUUAGUACUAUUUUUUUAUAUGAAAAUAAUAAAAAUAAUUAAAUUUCAUUAAUUGAUUAUCCAUUAAAUUUUAUAUGAAAAUUUUUUAUAAGAGUAAAAAGAUUCAAUAUCUUUAAAAAAAGAAAAAAAAAACAAAACAAAACAAUAAGUUAGAAAUGAGUAAUACUUAAUUGGGAAUAGAAAAGGGGAAAAAAUUGAAAUUUACACUCAUUAUAUGCCUAUGUAGGGAUUAAAGGUAUUUUAGGGAUUAAUGAAGGAUAAUAUCCUUUAACUUAAUUUUUAUAAUUUAUUUGGGUCUUGACCUUAAAUGUGCAUGAUAUAUGGAUCUUUGGUCAAUUUUUGGGCCCAUUCGGGCCCAAAAUACAAUUCUCCCUACAAAAAUAUUUAUUAAAAUAAAUUAAUUAAUAAAAGCCAUUUAAAGAGUUUCAUAACUUAGUAUCGAAGCUAUUGUAAGAAAAAAGUAUUAUAUAAUGUAGGGUUUAGGUUCAAAGUCUACCUAAGAUUAAAUUUAAGUCUCGAGACAAAUUCACAUUCAAAACUAGGUUUUUAAGUUUGAAAAAUAGAUCCCUUAAACAAAUUAAAUGGUAAAAAAUAAUUACAAAGAAAAUUUCUCUAGCUGGUUUCUUCAUCUUGAAAACUAACGGAAACAUAUAUUAAUAUUUGGUAUGAAAAUUCGUAACCUUAGAAACACAGCUUUGAGUCUUGCUGAGAAAAACAAAGCUUAUUUGCUCGUAGACCAUCGUAGUGGUCGUCAUACCGUGUGAGGACCGGGGAAGCAUCUUUGCUCGUAGACCGGCUUUUGUAGUCUUUCUUUAACAAUUACAAGUUGUCAGGAUUCCCUUCAUCCUCCCAAAUAAUAUUGUUUUUGGUCUUGUUCUGGUUGCAUCUCCGUGGAAGGAAAGAAGAUGAAUCAAGUUCCUUUGUAAGUAUCAAUGUCUCUGAUUCAUUUUUUGGUUCCUAGAAUCGAAUCCUCGCUCUGUUCUUGCUUAAUUUCUCCUUUUUCUGUUGGGUCUUUCACUGCAGGUUUAGCUCUGCACGGGAACUGGCAAAUUUGGUGCUGAGCUCCAAUCUAAUCGACUGUGCUUUCACCAAAAUUCUUGAACUUAAGAGAGGCCAAACAGCCUUGCCUGUUCAAUACAGACUUUAUCAACUGUCUUCCAAGUGCACAAUUGUAGCUUUUGUCUCUUCACCUGACUGCACUCAAUACCCUCUUCCUGGACAAGGAGAUUUAGAUCGGUCUCCUCUCUUUGACUUCCUCCGUACCGAAGAAUACCCGUCCGUCUCCAUUAACAGAGCAGCAUUAGCCCUCUAUACCCCUCUCCAUGAUCAUCUCUCUGGACUAACAGAUGAGGUCAAAAUCUGAUACUUGUUUGAAUUUUCGUUUCCUUUUCGUUAACAAUUGUGAGACACGAAACAGCUUGACCAUGAGAUCUCCCUCAUGGAGUCGAACUACCUGAAGGAUAAGACGUCACACAUAUCCAUUUUCAUGGCAUCGUCACAUGACCCAUUGAUCGGUUGUGAUUCAACUCUUAAUAGGAACACAGUAGAACUGGUGUUGGUAUAUCUGUCUUUAGAUAAGCUUGCAUAUAUCUUGUCACUGAAAAAGGAAUGUUCAGAAGUGAGAUUAGUGGCAUUAUUCUGACAUGGAUUUCAUAUGGUUACUUGUUUUGCAGUUGACUCAGAUUGAAGGUCAGUUAAUCAUCACUGGGCACUCCCUGGGAGGAUCCGUUGCUUCUCUCUUCACCUUACGCCUGCUAGAUGGCAAUUUAUUAAAACCCAAAUGCCGCCCCUUUUGUAUCACCUUUGGUUCACCCCUCAUAGGCGACUUUGGCCUCCAACACUCCAUAUGGAAUUCUUUCUUCCUGCAUGUAGUGUCUAACCAAGACCCAGUCCCCGGACUCUUCCUCCCAUCCGGCAGAUCUCCGCCCACAUCCUCCCAUUCACAAACUACCGGUUACAAGCCCUUUGGGACAUAUCUCUUGUGCUCUGAACUUGGUUGUGCUUGUUUUGACAACCCUGAUUUAAUUUUGGGAUUGCUUAAAGUCAUAUCAUCAGAGGUUGCCGGAGGAUUGCAGGAUGUUGACUAUGGGGAGAUUUUAAGAAACCUCAAGGAGAGGGCAAUCUGCAAGGGACUGCCGCAGGUGGGUGAACGGUUUGCAGAUCCAUUUUCAGCUGGGAUCAUCAUGGAACUUGAGACAAUUGGAUUUAAUCAAACAAAGGUAAACAGCUUUCUCCCAUCUAAUGAUGUUAUGAAACAUGGUUUACACUACACCAAAUACUGCAAUAACUGCCCUAUUCAGAUUUAUCUUCUUGUUCUUUGGGAUCUUCCAUAACUAGUCUCAUUUUUAAAAUUCAUGGCAGUUGCUGCAGCAUAACAUUGAUAUCAACGCUAUGAUAAGAACAAUGGAAGCGGAAACCAGAAGCCUAAUCCAGAAAAAUAAAGCUUCCGAUGCCAAGAAACUGAAUGACAUAAAAAGAGACAUGGCCCAUCUAGAAUGGUAUAAGAAGAAAUCGGAAAUGGGUUACUACGAUUGCUUCAAAAAUCAGGGGUCUAAAAGGGACAUCAACGUUGAACAAUUUAGGGGAAACCUCACAAUGUACUGGGAAGACAUGGUUGCACAAGUACAGAGGAAGCCCCAGAAGGAAGGAGCAACAUUUCGAACCCGUUGGUUCUAUGCAGGGACAGUUUAUAGGAGAAUGGUUGAACCACUGGACAUUGCUGCCUUCUACAGAGAGGGUGGAACAGACUACAUAAACAAUGGAAGAUCUCUUCAUUACAAGCUGUUGCAGCAAUGGUAUGAAGAAGAUGUGAAACCCCCCUCUAGAGAUAAGCUUGAUUCCAAGAAGCAAAAGGUGUCUGGUAUCCUAACUGAGGAUUCUUUGUUUUGGGCACAUGUGGAGGAGGCCAUCUUGUCAUGCGAAUUGCUCAAGAGUCAAAACUGUACUCUUGAGCAGGGAAAAUCAUCAUGGGAUAAUCUGGUUAAGUUCGAGGAGUAUGUAAUGGAACAUAUUAACAACUAUGCAGCGUCCCCUGAGAUUUUCUCGAGGGAAAGCAGCUUCAUGAAAUGGUGGGGACUGUAUGAGGGCUACAUAGAUACUUGCAGUAAUUCCCAUGGGUCGCCAUUGAUCAACUUCAUGAAGAAACGUAGCUAUAUGAAGUAUGGUUAGAGGGGCAAUCCAGUUUGUGUGUUGUGUUUGUUGUUUUGUGAGCGUUCAAUGGAUAAAACUAGAAAGAGUGACCUUUUUCCCUUUUUCUUGGUUGCUGCCCAUAUUCUCAGCACUAUUUUCUUCCUUCUUUUCCUCUGUUUUUUUGUUAAGAAAUGAAUAUUAUGAUGUUGCUGGGAUGCACUUUCAUUGUUGUUCUAUUACAUUGUGUUUUAUUUAUAUCCUAAACAAAUAAAUCAAAACAAGAAAAUCAAAUAAGACUUAAAGAGUCUUUUCCUUCAAAAAAAAAAAUGGGGAAAAAGAAAAACAUUUUUGUUUAGAUUCAACUCCACCAAAACUUGCAACAACUUCCCAUUGAAAAAUUCCUUUUAAGCUUCUGAAUGAUAUAAAACCAGAUAUGUUCCAGCUAGAAUGGUACAAGAAAGAAAUCAAAAGAUGAGUACAGUGGGUUAUUAUGACAGCUUUAGAAACCUGGGGUGUAAAAGAGACAUUAAAAUGGAACCGAUGGGAAGACAUGGUAGAACACGUAGAGAGGAAGCCUCACCAGGAAGGGGCAGCUUUGCAAACCCUCUGGCUCUGUACAGGAACGAAUUAUAGAAAGAUGGUUGAACCACUUGACAUUGUUCCCUACCACAGAGAGGGUGGAAGACACUACAUAACAUUACACGCUAUUGGAGCAAUGAUGCAAUGAAGAGGAGAAGGGGGCUUUGUCUUCUCAUGCAAAUUGCUCUCAGAGCUCAGAACCUACUCCUGAAGGGAAAGAAUCAUCAUUGAGUGAUCUGGUUAAGUUUGAGGAUUUAUUUAUAUAAUUGAACUGAUUGGAAGCUAUGCAGUGUCGGCCCCCGCCCGAGCAGCUUCAUGAAACGGUGGAAAGAGUUGGAAGAAGUCAUAGAUACUUGCUAUAGGAGCUUCAUGAAGUAUGGAGAGGUGUGGCAUAGAUACUUGCAGUCUCUGAAUUUCCCAAAUCCAAUUUCAGAUUGUGUAUUUAGAUUCGUGGAACUUGUUUUCUUGCUUUUUGUUAGGUACAAUUGAGAUGGGCUGAACCGAAAGGCCCGCCAGGAUGAACAAUAUAAUGGGCCUGAAUUUUAAACCAGCGGAUGGGCUUUGUACUGGAUUCAGCUGUCUGAGCCCAAUGAGUAUUGAAUGUAUUUCUGUAUAAAAUUAAAUUUUUAACAUUGAAAUAUAAGGACUUACUUAAAAACACAUUUGGUAACUUUUUUUUUUUUAUGGUUAAUAAUAGAUUUAAAAAAAAAUUAAAAAUAUAUAAUUUUUUAGGAUAAAUUUGAGGCAUGUUUAGGUAUUUUUCGUGGUAAAGAGUUUUGAGAAGCAAUGGGAAAUAUACAGAAUACUUUAAAAACUUUUGCAUAAGUAAGAUACUUACACGAGGCUUUCAUGAAAAAUAAAUUGAUAAAAACAAUUCUCAUAUUUAAAUUUCGAAACAUAAAACAACUCAGAACUGUUUUUAAAAAUUGUUCUUAAAAAUAGUUUUCUAUUAAGUCACAUUCAAGGAUGCUUUUAUCUUUUAUUUUUCUAUGUUUCAUCCUUGCAUAAAUGGAGUACAAAGACAUAAGUUAAUCUAAUUAACAAAUAUAGAUAAUCAUCCGAUAAAAGAGUAAAUUAGGUGAUGAUCUCUUUAUAUAUGCAAGUAAUGGAAUGAAUGUGAUGAAAAAUAAAAUAAAAAAGUAAGGGGAGAAAUGUUGUAAAUAAAGUGUUUUUAUUGUAGUUCAACGACCUAUCCACUUCCGCACCUUGACAUAUUUCACAAUUUUAAAAGUUUUCUUAAUCAUGAUUCUCUUUAUUAUUCUUUAAGUCCGGAUUUCUUAUGUUUCAAUAGACUUUUACAAUCACUAAGAUAGUGUUUGUUUUUUCACUUAAUUCUAAAUAUAACUUAAAACUAAAUAAUAUUUAAUAAUAUCAGGAUUAGGUUGUUUUUUUUAUAACAUUUUAUUUCUAUAUAAUAUUAAAAAGUAAAGAAAAAUCAAUAUAUUAUUUUUUUCAUUUAAAAAAAGUCAAAUAUUUUGACUUUUUUUUAAGCUAAAAAUUUAUAAUAAAAAAUAAAAAACAAACAAACAAACAAACAACUUAAAGUGUAAAAAUAGAUUGUUUUCAAUAAAAAUUUAAAAAAAAACAAACACCUUCUAAAUAAAAUUCCUUAACCACUCGUUCAAUAGCUCCUUUAAGCACAAAAUGUAUUGAAGUGCUCACAAUGAAAAGAUAAACAAGUUUUGAUUCAAUAUAAUUUUGGGUUAUCUAAUUAAAAGGGUCAUUGAAAACCCAAUUUUAGAAAUAUAACCCUUCAUCAUUUUUUUAUCUCGUGUUAACAAAAAUGCUCUUAUUAUUUUCUUAUAAAAAUAAUCAUUUCUUUUAAAACACACUAUAAAUACUCCAAAUAGCCAAGGGCUUUUAUGUAAAAAAAAAUGAAUUACUCUUCAAAUAAAAAUAUUGGAGGGAAUAAAUUCACAAAUAUGAGGUAUUUCAUCCCUUUUAAAUAAUUAUUUCUAUAAUUUUAAGAGUUUAAGAAGGCUAGACAAAGACUAAUUAUUAGGCACAUUUUGUAAAAACACUAGUUAUUAGACACAUUUUUUGCUCAAUCAAGCAAUCACACAGUUGACUAAACACUAAUUAUUGGACUUUUUUUUUUUAUAAUAAGUGGAAGACAAGAAUACAAUCGACUACUUUGGUCAAUUAAGCAAUCAUUCAGUUGACUAUAAACUAGUCUUUAGACAUUUUUUUUUAUAAUAAUUGGAAGACAUGAAUACAAUCGAUUACUUUGGUCAAUUAAUCAAUUAUUCAAGAAAUUUAGAAAAAUAUUGGAUAAAAGAUAUAUAUAACGGAUUAUUUCAAAUUGAAACUUAAGAUCAUAAAUCUUACUUUUAAUGUUGAAAAAUCAUGUAAAACACAAGUUUUUAUCUUUGAAGUAAUCAAUUUCAUUUUUCACAAAAAAUCAUUAAUAAUACAUGAAUGAAUUCUUUUAAAAAAAUCUUAUAAAAAAUGUGAUUAUUUUUCAUUCCCAAAUAUUUAGGUUCUAAAGGUCAAUUUUAAAGCAUACUUAUCCUUACUAUGCCUUACAAGAAAAUCUAUUCUAUACAUAUGAUCUUGUAAAAAACUGUAAAUAAAAAAGAAAAAAAGAAAAAAAACCUCUCUUGUUUUCCUCUUUUGAUUGGAUAUCAUUAUCAUACUUAAAAUUAAAUAUUUAAUCAAAAUAUUAUUUUACUAUCAUCAAAAUUUAGAUUUAACCAAACUUUAGGCUAGUAUGUUGAUACGACAAGUUAAUUUUCUAUCUUAAAGUUUUAAAAACUUUUGAAAUUAAACAUUUUCUUACACAUUUAUUUUUAAAGUUUUUAGCAUAAAAUUUAAAAUUGAAGCUUUUAAAGGAAAACCUCAUAAUAUAAUAUACUAGAAAGACAUGGUCAAACAAAUAGAGACGAAGCCUCAAAAGGAAGGGGCAAUGGUUGAACCACUUGACAUUGUUGCCUACUACUAAGAUGGUGUAAGAAACAACAUAACCAAUGGAACAUAUGCACAUUAAACAUUGUACAAUUAUUAUAAAUGUCUUAUACAUUAUGUGUGAAAAUACCAAAAAAAAAGAAAAAUUAUAUUCAACAUUUACAUUUGUAUACAAACAAUGUUUUCGACAAUUUGAUAUAAAAAACAAAUAAAAAAAAUAAAGAAAAACAUACAAAUAUAUUUACAAUGGACAAACUUAUUCAAUUAGUAUAAAUAUCUUGUAUAUUUAAUACAAAUACCUUAUACUUUGUGAAAAUGUAAAAAUAUAGUAUUUAAUAUUUAUACAUGUGGGUAAGUAAUUUUUCUAAUGGUUUGAUUUAAAAAACAAAUAAUGAGAAUCAAGAAAAACAUGCAAAUAAAUUAGUGUGAAUGAUAAAGGGUGUUUUUUACCAUAAAUUUUCAUGGACUUAGCAUCAAUUAUGCAUCUAUAGAUGUUAACCCAAUUAGCAUAAUGUGAAAACCCUUGCACACAAUAUAUAAACCCUAUACUUGAAUUAGGAAGGACAAAAAAAAAAUAGUUAGAGCAAUUGGUACCAUCAAUGAUGACUUCACCUAAAGAAAGGUUAAUGAACAUUAUGUUCUCAACGGAGAGCAACUCUGGUAGAACAUAUGGAGUAAAUCAAUGCCCUUCUUUUAACGAUGAAGUAGCUAAGUCAUGAAAACAAGGUUUUGCUAACAACAUUAAAGGCAAGAAUUCCCCCAAUAUACUCCAAUUCAUAUUCAAUUCACAGACCUUCAACUAACUACUCUCAGUAACGAGCAAACCCAAGUCAAUACAUAAGAUUGAUUAUUACUUAUGAUAAUUGAAACCCUAAUUAAAUAAAUAAGGACACAAAUAUAUAUAUAUAUAUAUAGGGACAGUUGUGUUUUGGACCUAGGUGAACCCAAAAAUUAAGGUUUGGUUUAUAUAACUUACAUAAUUGAUGAAAAUGAUAUAAGAUAUCAAAAUAUCAAAAUACUCAUUGACCUUUCACAUAAGCUUUUUUGGUAUUUAUUGCACUACUAUUCAUUCAACCAUAAUAAUUCUAUUUUAACUAUUUGGAUUUUUCAUUGUUUUUUAAAACUUUUUAUUUAUAAAUAAUUGAAAAUCAACAUUAUUUUCUAUUUUAAAUUAUAAAUAAAGAAAAAUUACGUUCGAAAACUAUUUUAAAAAAUACUUUCUAAAAAAAAUGGUAAUAUGAUUUAUAUUUUUUAUAUUUUCUUUUAGAAAAAAAUAUUUAAUUAAAAAAUGAAAAAUAUUUUUAAAAAUAAAAAUUGGAAACCUUGUUUAGUACUAUUUUUUUUAUAUAAAAAUAAUAAAAAUAAUUAAAUUUCAUUUAUUGAUUAUCCAUUAAAUUUUAUAUGAAAAUUUUGUAUAAGAGUAAAAAGAUUCAAUAUCUUUAAAAAAAGAAAAAAAAAACAAAACAAAAAGUUAGAAAUGAGUAAUACUUAAUUGGGAAUAGAAAAUGGGAAAAAUUUUGAAAUUUACACUCACUAUAUGUCUACGUAGGGAUUAAGGGUAUUUUAGGGAUUAAUGAAGGAUAAUAUCUUUUAACUUAAUUUUUACAUUUUAUUUGGGUCUUGGGAUUAAAUGUACAUUAUAUAUGGAUCUUUGGUUAAUUUUUGGACCCAUCCGGACCCAAAACACAAUUCUCCAUAAAAAAAUAUUUAUUAAAAUAAAUAAAUUAAUAAAAACCAUUUAGAGAGUUUCAUAACUUAGGUGGUGUUUGUUUUUUUGGCUUUUUGGUGAAAACCAUUUAGUUUUAGAAUUUAGGUUGUUUGUUUUUUUACUUUUUCAUGACUUAUUAUAAACUUUUUACAAAAUAGAAAAAGCCAAAAUAUAUGACUUUUUCUAAAUAGAAAAAUAACACAAUGGUUUUUUUUACUUUUUAAUACUUAAUAGAAAUAAAAUAUUAUAAAAACAAACAACCUAAUAUUUAAUACUAUUAAGUAUUAAAGUUCUAUUUAGAAUUAAGUAAAAAAACAAACACCACCUAAGUGUCGAAGCUAUUGUAAGAAAAAAGUAUUAUAUAAUGUAGGGUUUAGGUUCAAAGUCUACCUAAGAUUAAAUUUAAGUCUUAAGACAAAUUCACAUUCAAAACUAGGUUUUUAAGUUAGAAAAAUAGACCCCUUAAACCAAUUAAAUGGUAAAAAAAAAUUACAAAGAAAAUUUCUCUAGCUGGUUUCUUCAUCUUGAAAACUAACGGAAACAUAUAUCAAUAUUUGGUAUGAAAAUUCGUAACCUUAGAAACACAGCUUUGAGUCUUGCUGAGAAAAACAAAGCUUAUUUGCUCGUAGACCAUCGUAGUGGUCGUCAUACCGUGUGAGGACCGGGGAAGCAUCUUUGCUCGUAGACCGGCUUUUGUAGUCUUUCUUUAACAAUUGCAAGUUGUCAGGAUUCCCUUCAUCCUCCUAUAUAAUAUUGUUUUUGGUCUUGUUCUGGUUGUAUCUCCGUGGAAGGAAGGAAGAUGAAUCAAGUUCCUUUGUAUGUAUCAAUGUCUCUGAUUCAUUUUUUGGUUCCUAGAAUCGAAUCCUCGCUCUGUUCUUGCUUAAUUUCUCCUUUUUCUGUUGGGUCUUUCACUGCAGGUUUAGCUCUGCACGGGAACUGGCAAAUUUGGUGCUGGCCUCCAAUCUAAUCGACUGUGCUUUCACCAAAAUUCUUGAACUUAAGAGAGGCCAAACAGCCUUGCCUGUUCAAUACAGACUUUAUCAACUGUCUUCCAAGUGCACAAUUGUAGCUUUUGUCUCUUCACCUGACUGCACUCAAUACCCUCUUCCUGGACAAGGAGAUUUAGAUCGGUCUCCUCUCUUUGACUUCCUCCGUACCGAAGAAUACCCGUCCGUCUCCAUUAACAGAGCAGCAUUAGACCUCUUUACCCCUCUCCAUGAUCAUCUCUCUGGACUAACAGAUGAGGUCAAAAUCUGAUACUUGUUUGAAUUUUCGUUUCCUUUUCGUUAACAAUUGUGAGACACGAAACAGCUUGACCAUGAGAUCUCCCUCAUGGAGUCGAACUACCUGAAGGAUAAGACGUCACACAUAUCCAUUUUCAUGGCAUCGUCACAUGACCCAUUGAUCGGUUGUGAUUCAACUCUUAAUAGGAAUACAGUAGAACCGGUGUUGGUAUCUGUCUUUAGAUCAGCUUGCAUAUAUCUUGUCACUGAAAAAGGAAUGUUCAGAAGUGAGAUUAGUGGCAUUAUUCUGACAUGGAUUUCAUAUGGUUACUUGUUUUGCAGUUGACUCGGAUUGAAGGUCAAUUAAUCAUCACUGGGCACUCCCUGGGAGGAUCCGUUGCUUCUCUCUUCACCUUACGCCUGCUAGACGGCAAUUUAUUAAAGCCCAAAUGCCAUCCCUUUUGUAUCACCUUUGGUUCACCCCUCAUAGGCGACUUUGGCCUCCAAGACUCCAAAUGGAAUUCUUUCUUCCUGCAUGUAGUGUCUAACCAAGACCCAGUCCCCGGACUCUUCCUCCCAUCCGGCAGAUCUCCGCCCACAUCCUCCCAUUCACAAACUACCGGUUACAAGCCCUUUGGGACAUAUCUCUUGUGCUCUGAACUUGGUUGUGCUUGUUUUGACAACCCUGAUUUAAUUUUGAGAUUGCUGAAAGUCAUAUCAUCAGAGGUUGCCGGAGGAUUGCAGGAUGUUGAUUAUGGGGAGAUUUUAAGAAACCUCAAGGAGAGGGCAAUCUGCAAGGGACUGCCGCAGGUGGGUGAACGGUUUGCAGAUCCAUUUUCAGCUGGGAUCAUCAUGGAACUUGAGACAAUUGGAUUUAAUCAAACAAAGGUAAACAGCUUUCUCCCAUCUAAUGAUGUUAUGAAACAUGGUUUACACUUCACCAUAUACUGCAAUAACUGCCCUAUUCAGAUUUAUCUUCUUGUUCUUUGGGAUCUUCCAUAACUCGUCUCAUUUUUAAAAUUCAUGCCAGCUGCUGCAGCAUAACAUUGAUAUCGACGCUAUGAUAAGAACAAUGGAAGAGGAAACCAGAAGCCUAAUCCAGAAAAAUAAAGCUUCCGAUGCCAAGAAACUGAAUGACAUAAAAAGAGACAUGGCCCAUCUAGAAUGGUAUAAGAAGAAAUCGGAAAUGGGUUACUACGAUUGCUUCAAAAACCAGGGGUCUAAAAGGGACAUCCACGUUGAACAGUUUAGGGUAAACCUCACAAAAUACUGGAAAGACAUGGUUGCACAAGUACAGAGGAAGCCCCAGAAGGAAGGAGCAACAUUUCGAACCCGUUGGCUCUAUGCAGGGACAGUUUAUAGGAGAAUGGUUGAACCACUGGACAUUGCUGCCUUCUACGGAGAGGGUAAAACAGACUACAUAAACAAGAAAAGAUCUCUUCAUUACCAGCUGUUGCAGCAAUGGUAUGAGGAAGAUGUGAAACCCCCCUCUAGAGAUAAGCUUGAUUCCAAGAAGCAAAAGGUGUCUGGUAUCCUAACUGAGGAUUCUUUGUUUUGGGCAUAUGUGGAGGAGGCCAUCUUGUCAUGCGAAUUGCUCAAGAGUCAAAACUGUACUCUUGAGCAGGGAAAAUCAUCAUGGGAUAAUCUGGUUAAGUUCGAGGAGUAUGUAAUGGAACAGAUUAACAACUAUGCAGCGUCCCCUGAGAUUUUCUCGAGGGAAAGCAGCUUCAUGAAAUGGUGGGGACUGUAUGAGGGCUACAUAGAUACUUGCAGUAAUUCCCAUGGGUCGCCAUUGAUCAACUUCAUGAAGGAUCGUAGGUAUAUACAGUAUGGACGUUAGAGGGGCAAUCCAGUUUGUGUGUUGUGUUUGUUGUUUUGUGAGCGUUCAAUGGAUAAAACUAGAAAGAGUGUGACCUUUUUCCCUUUUUCUUGGUUGCUGCCCAUAUUCUCAGCACUAUUUUCUUCCUUCUUUUCCUCAGUUUUUUUUGUUAAGAAAUGAAUAUUAUGAUGUUGCUGGGAUGCACUUUCAUUGUUGUUCUAUUAAAUUGUGUUUUAUUUAUAUCCUAAACAAAUAAAUGUAAACAAGAAAAUCAAAUAAGACUUCAAAGAGUCUUUUCCUUCAAAAAAAAAAAAAAUGGGGAAAAAGAAAAACAUUUUUGUUUAGAUUCAACUCCACCAAAACUUGCAACAACUUCCCAUUGAAAAAUUCCUUUUAAGCUCUGAAUGACAUAAAACUAGAUAUGUUCCAGCUAGAAUGGUACAAGAAAGAAAUCAACAGAUGAGAACAAUGGGUUAUUAUGACAGCUUCAGAAACCUGGGGUGUAAAAGAGACAUUAAAAUGGAACCGAUGGGAAGACAUGGUAAAACACGUAGAGAGGAAGCCUCACCAGGAAGGGGCAGCUUUGCAAACCCUCUGGCUCUGUACAGGAACGAAUUAUAGAAAGAUUGUUGAACCACUUGACAUUGCUGCCUACCACAGAGAGGGUGGAAGACACUACAUAACCAAUGGAGGAUCUAAACAUUACACGCUAUUGGAGCAAUGAUGCAAUGAAGAGGAGAAGGGGGCUUUGUCUUCUCAUGCAAAUUGCUCUCAGAGCUCAGAACCUACUCCUGAAGGGAAAGAAUCAUCAUGGAGUGAUCUGGUUAAGUUUGAGGAUUUAUUUAUAUAAUUGAACUGAUUGGAAGCUAUGCAGUGUCGGCCCCCACCCGAGCAGCUUCAUGAAACGGUGGAAAGAGUUGGAAGAAGUCAUAGAUACUUGCUAUAGGAGCUUCAUGAAGUAUGGAGAGGUAUGGCAUAGAUACUUGCAGUGUCUGAAUUUCCCAAAUCCAAUUUCAGAUUGUGUACUUAGAUUCGUGGAACUUGUUUUCUUGCUUUUUGUUAGGUACAAUUGAGAUGGGCUGAACCGCAAGGCCCGCCAGGAUGAACAAUAUAAUGGGCCUGAAUUUUAAACCAGUGGAUGGGCUUUGGACUGGAUUCAGCUGUCUGAGCCCAAUGAGUAUUGAAUGUGUUUCUGUAUAAAAUUAAAUUUUUAACAUUGAAAUAUAAGGACUUACUUAAAAACACAUUUGGUAACUUUUUUUUUUUGGUUAAUAAUAGAUUGUUUAAAAAAAAAUUAAAAAAAUAUUAUUUUUUAGAAUAAAUUUGAGGCAUGUUUAGGUAUUUUUCGUGGUAAAGAGUUUAGAAGCAAUGAGAAUAUAUAUAGAAUACUUUAAAACUUUUGCAUAAUACUUACUUACAUGAUGCUUUCAUAAAAAAUAAAUCAAUAAAAACAAUUUUCAUAGUUGAAUUUCAAAACAUAAAACAACUCAGAAUUGUUUUUAAGAAUUGUUCUUAGAAAUAGUUUUCUAUUAAGUCACAUUCAAGGAAUCGUUUUCAUAUAUGCAAGUAAUGGAAUGAAUGUGAUGAAAAAUAAAAAAUAAAAAGUAAGGGGAAAGAUAUUGUAAAUAAAGUGUUUUUAUCGUGGUUCAAUGACCUAUCCACUUCCACACCUUGAUGUAUUUCACAAUUUUAAAAGUUUUCUUAAUCAUGAUUCUCCUUAUUAUUCUUUAUGUCGAGAUUUUUUAAGUUUUAAUAGACUUUUUCAAUCACUAAGGUGGUGUUUGCUUUUUCACUUAAUUUUAAAUAUAACUUAAAACUAAAUAAUACUUAAUAGUAUCAACUAUUAAGUUGUUUGUUUCUAUAACAGUUUAUUUCUAUAUAAUAUUAAAAAGUAAAGAAAAAUCAACAUGCUAUUUUUGUCAUUUAAAAAAAGUCAAAUAUUUUGAAUUUUUUUAUUUAGCUAAAAAUUUAUAAUAAAUCCUAAAAAGAUAAAUAAUAAUAAUAAUAAAUAAAUAAAUAAAUAAAAACAAAUAAACAACUUAAAGUCUAAAAACAAAUUGUUGUCAACAAAAAAUUAAAAAAACAAGCACUUUCUAAAUAAGAUUCCUUAACCACUCGUACAAUAGCUCCUUUAAGCACAAGAUGUAAUGAAUGAAUACAACUUUGGUGAAAUAACUAAAGUGCUCACAAUGAGAAAAUAAACAAGUUUGGAUUCAAUAUAAUUUUUGGCUAUCUAAUUAAAAGGGUAAUUGAAAACCCAAUUUUGGAAAUAUAACCCUUCAUCAUUUUUUUUACCUCAUUUUAAUAAAAAUACUCUUAUUAUUUUCUUAUAAAAAUAAUCAUUUCUUUUAAAACAUACUAUAAAUACUUCAAAUAAUCAAGAGCAUUUAUGUAAAAAAUGAAUUACUCUUCAAAUAAAAAUAUUGGAGGGAAUAAAUUCACAAAUAUAUGGGGUAUUUCAUCCCUUCUAACUAAUUAUUUCUAUAAUUUAAAGAGUUUAAGAAGGCAAGACAACUAAAUAAAUGAAGUUUUCAAGUUAUUGUCUCUAUCAUAAAUAAAGUCCAAUAAUCACAUUUGUAUCGUUUUGUACAAAGACUAAUUAUUAGGCAUAUUUUGUAAAAACACUAAUUAUUAGACACAUUUUUCGCUCAAUCAAACAAUCACACAGUUGACUAGAAACUAGUUGUUGGACAUUUUUUUUUAUAAUCAUUGGAAGACAAGAAUACAAUCGACUACUUUAAUCAAUUAAGCAAUCAUACAGUCGACUAUAAACUAGUCAUUGGACAUUUUUUUUAAAAUCAUUGGAAGACAGGAAUACAAUCGAUCACUUUGGUCAAUUAAUCAAUUAUUCAAGAAAUUUAGAAAAAUAUUGGAUAAACGACAUAUAGUGGAUUAUUUCAAAUUGAAACUUAAGAUCGGAAAUCUUGCUUUUAAAUCAUGUAAAACACAAGUUUUUAUCUUUGAAGUAAUCAAUCUCAUUUUUAACAAAAAAAAUCAUUAAUAAUAUAUGAAUGAAUUCUUUUAAAAAAUGUGAUUAUUUUUCAUUCCCAAAUACUUAUGUUCUAAAGGUCAAUUUUAAAGCAUACUUGUCCCUACUAUGCCUUAUAAGAGAAUAUAUUCUAUACAUGUGAUAUUGUAAAAAAGUUUAAAAAAUAAAUAAAUAAAUAAAUAAAACCUCUUUUGUUUUCCUCUUUUGACUAUAUAUCAUCAUUAUCAUACUUAAAAUUAAAUAUUCAAUCAAAAUAUUAUUUUAUUAUCAUCAAAAUUUAAAUUUAACCAAACUUUAGGCUAGUACGUUGAUAUGACAAGUUAAUUUUCUAUCUUAAAGUUUUAAAAACUUUGAAAUUAAACAUUUUCUUACACAUUUAUUUUUAAAGUUUUUAGCAUAAAAUUUAAAAUAAAAAAAUACAUUAUUUUCAAAUUCAUUUUGAAAAUUUUUAUUUUAAAAAUAAAAAAUUUAAUAAAAAAAAAUGCAGGCCAGUUUUUUUUCCCUCUUUUUACCCUACAGUUUAAUUAAUUUGAGGUUAGAGGAAAGCUAUGAAAGAAAGAAAAUAAAAAUAAAAAAGAAAAUGAAAGAAUGAAAAAUAUAGCAAAAAAAUUUAAAAGAAAAAAUCUACAAGCUAAUAUUUUUUUCUUAUUUGAGAUGAUAUUUUAUAUUUAGCUUUACUACAAGCUAAAGUCACCAAAACCAUGAUCACAAAAGGGUAAUAUUGAUAUAAUGAAAGAUUAUGAAAAAAAAAAAGUUCUAUAACAAGCAAUAUUUGCUUGACUUUCAUUUAAAAAAAUUUAAAAUCAAAAUACUUUUAGUAAAAUUAUCUAAACAUGUCAAACCUAAACGAAGUGAGUGUUUCAUAUUAAGUUAUUUUUUAAGCCAAAAAACUUAUUUUAAUAGAAUUAAUCACAUAGAUAAAAAGUUGCUAUCGUGGUGGGAAAAAGGUUUUCUUUCAUUUAUUAAAUGCUAAUAAAUUUUGAAUUAUUGAAUUCAUAAAUCUUUUAAUAAAGGUCUCAUUACGUUACAUCUAAGGUUUUAUUGUGUUGGCAUCUUAUGUCUGGUGUUAUUAUUUAUUUUAUAUCCAUUUUAUUGUUUUAUAGUUUAAUCUCAUUUGAUUGUACUAUCAUUAAAUAAUCUAAAUUUGAUUACUAUGAGAUUUUAAAGUUAGAUAUGAUGUCAAUCAUGGUAUAGAUUUUGAAAGAUAUUAUCAAAUCAAAUAUUUAGGGUAUUUGAUAAAUCAAUUUAAUAACUUAAAAUGAUUUAAUAAUUUAUUUAUAUUAAUUUAAAGUUUUCAAAUAAAUUUUUUUAUAAAUAUAAUUUUAGAUUUAAGUAAAGAUAAGUUAAUUUUAAAUUUUAAAUUAAAAUAAUUAACUCAUUCUUAGUUAAAUCUAAAACUAUAUUUAAAAUAAAUAAAAACAGAGAUGGAUAUAAAUUAAGUCAAUAACUCACUUUAAAUCAUUGACUUGAUUUACCAAACACUUCAAAAUCUCACAUUUACAAGACCUGAAGUGGAUCCUUUUCAAUGAAUAUUGUCAUAUUUGUUGGAGUGUACCCAAAAUCCAAAUAUUUCAGUCUUUUUUCUCUUUAUUUCAUUUUAAAAUAAAAUAAUAAUCAUUAUACCAUGAACUUUCAAAAGUACCAUCAUUAUGUCAGUGGAGAUGGGAAGCUGAAAGCCUGAAACAAAUCAAUGGUGAAAGACACCAGUUUUCCAACAACAAAAAAGGCCAAAUCUGAUUCCAACUCAUCCAGUCUAUCUGUGCACUUUGACAACUGAAACACUUUAUUCCAAUUCACAUUUCACUAGAAAUUCCAUUCCAUAUCUACUCAAUAUUCACUGAAAAGGGUUUACAAUGAAAUAACAACUNNNNNNNNNNNNNNNNNNNNNNNNNNNNNNNNNNNNNNNNNNNNNNNNNNNNNNNNNNNNNNNNNNNNNNNNNNNNNNNNNNNNNNNNNNNNNNNNNNNNGAAAUUCAAAGAGCAACACUACUAACAUCUCAGAAUCCUCUGUGCAAUCACUACCAAAACUUUUCCUUACACAUGAAUGAAGAAAUGAGGCUGUACAUAUAUAAUCUGCGGAUGACAACAUGCAAGAAUGCAAAUGGGGGAAAUGGGGAAACAAAUAUUCUAGACAGGGUCUUAUUGGAAAGAAUCUAGGAUUGGGGCUUGAAGAAAAAUGGAAGAAUGGCAUCAUAAGACUGCAGUCUGAGUGGGAGAAGAAUUCAGGCGGGAGAGACAGGUUGAAGAUGAGUUCAGUAAUGAGCUCUCAAGGCUUGGGCAUGGUUCAGGGAACACCCAUUGGGAGAACCCAGAGACAUUUGAGCAAACCCAAGAGAUGGAGGCAGGAGGAGUAGUUGAUAGGGAGAUGUUGGAUAGACAAAUGGAAGUGAACGGGGAUUCUUGAAUACCAGUGAAGCUUCCAGCAAUGGUUAUGUUUGUGCCGAUCACAUUCUGCAAGGUGAUGUGAUCCAAGACAGGGAGUGCAUUGGGGUCAAAAUGGUCAUCUGGGUGGGAGCCGAUUUGGCCUGUUGCACUGAAGGCUGUGUGGAUGUUUUCCAUUGCGACAUCUGAUAUGAUGAUUUCUUGGAUAUAACCACCUCUUCCCUUGGUAGUUCUGAACUCGAUGCCACUGAAUGAGUUGUAUAGGUGGACCUGCUCCACACAGACGUUAGAAAUGCCACCAGACAUCUCACUACCGAAGGCCAGGGAAGAGCCAGAUGAUGAUUGAAGGUUGACCCGUCUGAUGUGUACAUUUGUGGUGGGUCUACCAUAGGCAAUGCCAUAUUCAUCCCAGCCACUCUUGAGUGCAAUGGCAUCAUGGCCCAUGGCAAUGCUGCAAUCCUCUAUGCAGGUGCUAUCUGAAGAAUCUGAAAUCAAAACAUUAUACAAAGUUGACUUAGCAAAAUUCUUUUCAUGACUGAACCCUUCCUGAACAUAGAAAAAAGUAAAAUUAUAAUCUACAUGAACCACUAAACAAACCACAGGUAACAACCUGUUUCCUCUUUCAACAAAUAUCCCUAUCAAUAUACUUAAACAUUCAUAUAUACAUUAAAAACUAAUAUAGAUUUUCAGAAAUAUCUUACCAAUCGGAAGAGGGUUCAAACAAUAAACAAAGACAAAACAAUUCUAGCACUGAUAAUUAAAGAUCCAAAAGUUUAUCAAAUUUAGUAAAAAGAAACAGACCAAAACCUACAAAAUUAUUGUUAAACAAGUGAAAAACAAAACAUUAAAUUAUCUAUUAUCACUCUUGGAGACUGACGGUAUGAAAAUAAGUUCAAAUGCCUCAGAUUCCUUCACCUCCAUUCUUAAUUCCUAGCCUCUUCAACAACCAAGUUUCAAGUACCUUAAUUCGUCCAUCUCCAGAACUGAUAGCAAAGAAGUCCAAAGAAGGGGUAAAGGUUGUUAAUAAAUCUCGGAUAUUCGAUGGGCCCAUGGUCCUGUAUCAAAAGAAUAAAUUAAAUGUCAAAGUCCUUACAAUUCAUAAUUUACAAAUUAGAAAUGAAAUUGUAGAUAUACGAGAGGUGUUCCAAGACGUUAUUAAGGGAGAUUGACUGUAACUGCCUAUUGAUAAAGAAACAAAACAACUUACCAUGACGAAAAUAAUAUAGCUCAAAAUCACAGUAGGAAGUGCCAAAAAAAGGUGGCAAUCCUCUGAAACAUAUGAUGAAGAAGAUAUAAAAAAAUAUAUAAGAAAGACACAGCAUUAAAAAUUUUAAAGCUCGCCAAUAUGUUGCCAAUCCAGUAAAUCAUUUCAUUAACUAAACUGAUUCAGCACUUAAGCUCUAAUAACCUUUGUUUGGUAGCCGAGAAAAUGGAAGAGAAGGAGGAAAAAAAUGCAAUAUCAUGCUAUCUGUUACUGAAUCAAGCCAAACAAUUCAGUUAAACUUGGCUGAACAGCAGUUUUAGCUUUCUUAGCCUGAAUAACGAAAAUUCAAGAUUUUAUCUAUUUUACUUUCCUGCAUUUUCUCAGCUUCCCGGUUUGUCUACGGACAAACUAGAGGAAAAUAAAAUAAAAAAUAAAAAGAAAACUAAAACCAGGUAUUUUCAGUUGUUCUCCAUAAAAAGCAAACGAAAAAUCAACAGAACUAAAUCCUGAGCAAUUACCGAUCCGGCUCAGGCUGAAUUUCCGGUUCUCUUAGAAAAUAUUAUAUAGCAGUUCCAAUAAGGGACCGUCGUGCAUCAUUAUACUAAUUUUCCUCCGUUUUUCGGCAACCAAACAGAGGAUAAACUUGUUUUGAGGAGAAGAUGCACGCUUACCUGUUUUGGCGACCGGCGGCGGCGAGAUGCAAAGAAAAAGAGAGAACGAGAGAGGGGUUUUACCUGUUUUGGCGACCGGCAGCGGCUAGAAGCAAAGAAAAAGAGAGAACGAGAGUGGGGUUUUAGGAACGCAGCCGCGUAGCUGCUCAUUUCGCAAGGGCCCCUUUUUUAUUUCUUUUUCUUUUUUUUCAAUUUUAGGAUUUUUCAUUUUAGCCUCCAUAUUUGAGUGUAUUUAGAUUUGUGGAACCUGUUUUGGGGCUUUUUGUUAGGUACAAUUGAGAUGGGCUGAACCGAAAAGCCCGCCAGGAUGAACAACAUUAAUGGGCCUGAAUUUUAAACCUAUGAAUGGGCUUUAUACUGGAUUCAGCUGUCUGAGCCCAAUGAGUAUUGAAUGUGUUUCUGUAUAAAAUUAAACUUUUAACAUUGAAAUAUGAGGACUUACUUAAAAACACAUUUGGUAACUUUUUUUUUUGGUUAAUAAUGGACUUUAAGAAAAAAUUAAAAAUAUAUUAUUUUUUAGAAUAAAUUUGAGGCAUGUUUAGGUAUUUUUUGUGGUAAAGAGUUUUGAGAAGCAAUAGAAAAUAUAUAGAAUACUUUAAAAACUUUUGCAUAAGAUACUUACUUACACGAGGCUUUCAUGAAAAAUAAAUCGAUAAAAACAAUUUUCAUAUUUGAAUUGCGAAACAUAAAACAACUCAAAACUGUUUUUAAGCAUUGUUCUUAAAAAUAGUUUUCUAUUAAGUCACAAUCAAGGAAGCUUUUAUCUUUUAUUUUUCUAUGUUUCAUCCUUGCAUAAAGGGAGUAUAAAGACUAAAGUUAAUCUAAUUAACAAAUUUGGAUAAUCAUCCAAUAAAUGAGUAAAUUAGGUGAUGAUCUCUUUAUAUAUGCAAGUAAUGGAAUGAAUGUGAUGAAAAAUAGAAAAAAGUAAGGGGAGAAAUGUUGUAAAUAAAGUGUUUUUAUUGUGGUUCAAUGACCAAUCCACUUCCACACCUUGACAUAUUUCACAAUUUUAAAAGUUUUCUUAAUCAUGAUUCUCCUUAUUAUUUUUUAAGUCCGGAUUUCUUAAGUUUCAAUAGACUUUUACAAUCACUAAGAUGGUGUUUAUUUUUUCACUUAAUUCUAAAUAUAAGUUAAAACUAAAUAAUAUUUAAUAAUAUCAAGUAUUAGGUUGUUUUUUUUUAUAACAUUUUAUUUUUAUAUAAUAUUAAAAAGUAAAGAAAAAUCAAUAUGUUAUUUUUUUCAUUUAAAAAAAGACAAAUAUUUUGCCUUUUUUUUAAGCUAAAAAUUUAUAAUAAAAAAAAAAAAGCAAACAAUUUAAAGUGUAAAACAGAUUGUUUUCAACAAAAAUUUAAAAAAACAAACACUUUCUAAAUAAGAUUCCUUAGCCACUUGUACAAUGGCUUCUUUAAGCACAAAAUGUAAUAAAUGAAUACAACUCUGGUGAAAUGACUAAAGUGCUCACAAUGAGAAGAUAAACAAGUUUGGAUUCAAUAUAAUUUUGGGUUAUCUAAUUAAAAUGGUCAUUGAAAACCCAAUUUUGGAAAUAUAACCCUUCGUCAUUUUUUUACCUCAUUUUAACAAAAAAAAGCUCUUAUUAUUUUCCUAUAAAAAUAAUCAUUCCUUUUAAAACACACUAUAAAUACUUCAAAUAGCCCAAGGUUUUUAUGUAAAAAAAAAUGAAUUACUCUUCAAAUAAAAAUAUUGGAGGGAAUAAAUUCACAAAUAUGGGUAUUUCAUCUCUUUUAACUAAUUAUUUCUAUAAUUUUAAGAGUUUAAGAAGGCUAGACAAAGACUAAUUAUUGGACUUUUUUUUUUAUAAUCAAUGGAAGACAGGAAUACAAUCGACUACUUUGAUCAAUUAAGCAAUUAUACAGUUGACAAUAAACUAGUCGUUAGACAUUUUUUUUUAUAAUAAUUGGAAGACAUGAAUACAAUCGAUUACUUUGGUCAAUUAAUCAAUUAUUUAAGAAAUUUAAAAAAAUAUUGGAUAAAAGAUAUAUAUAUAUAUAACGAAUUAUUUCAAAUUGAAACUUAAGAUCAGAAAUCGUGCUUUUAAUGUUGAAAAAUCAUGUAAAACACAAGUUUUUAUCUUUGAAGUAAUCAAUUCAUUUUUCACAAAAAAUCAUUAAUAAUACAUUAAUGAAUUCUUUUAAAAAAUCUUAUAAAAAAUGUGAUUAUUUUUCAUUCCCAAAUACUUAGGUUCUAAAGGUCAAUUUUAAAGCAUACUUAUCCUUACUAUGCCUUACAAGAAAAUCUAUUCUAUACAUAUGAUUUUGUAAAAAAGUGUAAAUAAAAAAAAUAAAAAAUAAAAAAUAAAAAAUAAAAAAAACCUCUCUUGUUUUCCUCUUUUGAUUGGAUAUCAUUAUUAUACUUAAAAUUAAAUAUUUAAUCAAAAUAUUAUUUUACUAUCAUCAAAAUUUAGAUUUAACCAAACUUUAGGCUAGUAUGUUGAUAUGACAAGUUAAUUUUCUAUCUUAAAGUUUUAAAAACUUUUGAAAUUAAACAUUUUCUUACACAUUUAUUUUUAAAGUUUUUAGCAUAAAAUUUAAAAUUAAAGCUUUUAAGGAAAAACCUCAUAAUACAAUAUACUAGAAAGACAUGGUCAAACAGAUAGAGAGGAAGCCUCGAAAGGAAGGGGCAAUGGUUGAACCACUUGACAUUGUUGCCUACUACUAAGAUGGUGUAAGAAACAACAUAACCAAUGGAACAUAUGCACAUUAAACAUUGUAUAAUUAUUAUAAAUGUCUUAUACAUUAUAUGUGAAAAUACGAAAAAAAAAAUAAAAUAAAAUUAUAUUCAACAUUUAUAUUUGUAUACAAACAAUAUUUUCAAUACUUUGAUAUAAAAAACAAAUUAAAAAAAUGAAGAAAAACAUAUAAAUAUAUUUACAAUGGACAAACUUAUUCAAUUAGUAUAAAUAUCUUGUAUAUUUAAUACAAAUACCUUAUACUUUGUGAAAAUGUAAAAAUAUAGUAUUUGAUAUUGAUACAUGUGGGUAAGUAAUUUUUCUAAUGGUUUGAUUUAAAAAACAAAUAAUGAGAAUCAAGAAAAACAUGCAAAUAAAUUAGUGUGAAUGAUAAAGGGUGUUUUUUACCAUAAAUUUUUAUGGACUUAGCAUCAAUUAUGCAUCUAUAGAUGUUAACCCAAUUAGCAUAAUGUGAAAACCCUUACACACAAUAUAUAAACCCUAUACUUGAAUUAGGAAGGACAAAAAAAAAAAUAGUUAGAGCAUUUGGUACCAUCAAUGAUGACUUCACCUAAAGAAAAGUUAAUGAACAUUAUGUUCUCAAUGGAAGAGCAACCCUAGUAGGACAUAUGGAGUAAAUUGAUGCUCUUCUUUCGACAACGAAGUAGCUAAGUCAUGAAAAUGGGGUUUUGCUAACAACAUUAAAUGCAAGAAUUCCCCAAUAUACUGCAAUUCAUAUUCAAUUCAUAGACUUUCAACUAACUACUCUCAAUAACGAGCAAACCCAAGUCAAUACAUAAGAUUGAUUAUUACUUAUGAUAAUUGAAACCCUAAUUAAUAAAUAAGGACACAAAUAUAUGUAUAUAUAUAUAUAUAUAUAUAUAUAUAUAUAUAAAAUAGAGACAAUUGUGUUUUGGACCCAGGUGGAUCAAAAAUUAAGGUUUGGUUCAUAAAACUUACAUAAUUGAUGGAAAUGAUAUAAGUUAUCAAAAUACCAAAAUACUCAUUGAUCUUUCACGUAAGCUUUUUUUGUCUUUAUUGCACCACUAUUCAUGCAACCAUAAUAAUUCUAUUUUAACUAUUUGGAUUUUUCAUUAUUUUUUAAAACUUUUUUUUUAUAAAUAAUUGAAAAUCAACAUUAUUUUCUAUUUUAAAUUAUAAAUAAAGAAAAAUUACGUUCAAAAACUAUUUUAAAAAAUAAUUUCUAAAAAAAUGGUAAUAUGAUUUAUAUUUUUUAUAUUUUCUUUUAGAAAAAAAUAUUUAAUUAAAAAAUGAAAAAUAUUUUUCAAAAUAAAAAUUGAAAACCUUGUUUAGUACUAUUUUUUUAUAUGAAAAUAAUAAAAAUAAUUAAUUUAUUAUCCAUUCAAUUUUAUAUGAAAAUUUUUUAUAAGAGUAAAAAGAUUCAAUAUCUUUAAUAAAAGAAAAAAAAAACAAAACAAAAAGUUAGAAAUAAGUAAUACUUAAUUAGGAAUAGAAAAAGGGAAAAAUUUUGAAAUUUACACUCACUAUAUGCCUAUGUAGGGAUUAAAGGUAUUUUAUGAAUUAAUGAAGGAUAAUAUUUUUUAACUUAAUUUUUACAAUUUAUUUGGGUCUUGGGCUUAAAUGUGAAUGAUAUAUGGAUCUUUAGUCAAUUUUUGGGCCCAUCCGGGCCCAAAACACAAUUCUCCCUAAAAAACUAUUUAUUAAAAUCAAUAAACUAAUAAAAACCAUUUAGAGAGUUUCAUAACUUAGUGUCGAAGCUAUUGUAAGAAAUAAGUAUUAUAUAAUGUAGAGUUUAGGUUUAAAGUCUACCUAAGAUUAAAUUUAAGUCUUAAGACAAAUUCACAUUCAAAACUAGGUUUUUAAGUUAGAAAAAUAGAUCUCUUAAACCAAUUAAAUGGUAAAAAAAAUUACAAAGAAAAUUUCUCUUGCUGGUUUCUUCAUCUUGAAAACUAACGGAAACAUAUAUCAAUAUUUGGUAUGAAAAUUCGUAACCUUAGAAACACAGCUUUGGGUCUUGCUGAGAAAAACAAAGCUUAUUUGCUCGUAGACCAUCCUGGUGGUCAUCAUACCGUGUGAGAACCGGGGAAGCAUCUUUUCUCGUAGACCGGCUUUUGUAGUCUUUCUUUAACAAUUACAAGUUGUCAGGAUUCCCUUCAUCCUCCUAUAUAAUAUUGUUUUUGGUCUUGUUCUGGUUGUAUCUCCGUGGAAGAAAGGAAGAUGAAUCAAGUUCCUUUGUAAGUAUCAAUGUCUCUGAUUCAUUUUUUGGUUCCUAGAAUCGAAUCCUCGCUUUGUUCUUGCUUAAUUUCUCCUUUUUCUGUUGGGUCUUUCACUGCAGGUUUAGCUCUGCACGGGAACUGGCAAAUUUGGUGCUGAGCUCCAAUCUAAUCGACUGUGCUUUGACCAAAAUUCUUGAACUUAACAGAGACCAAACAGCCUUGCCUGUUCAAUACAGACUUUUUCAACUGUCUUCCAAGUGCACAAUUGUAGCUUUUGUCUCUUCACCUGACUGCACUCAAUACCCUCUUCCUGGACAAGGAGAUUUAGAUCGGUCUCCUCUCUUUGACUUCCUCCGUACCGAAGAAUACCCGUCCGUCUCCAUUAACAGAGCAGCAUUAACCCUCUAUACCCCUCUCCAUGAUCAUCUCUCUGGACUAACAGAUGAGGUCAAAAUCUGAUACUUGUUUGAAUUUUCGUUUCCUUUUCGUUAACAAUUGUGAGACACGAAACAGCUUGACCAUGAGAUCUCCCUCAUGGAGUCGAACUACCUGAAGGAUAAGACGUCACACAUAUCCAUUUUCAUGGCAUCGUCACAUGACCCAUUGAUCGGUUGUGAUUCAACUCUUAACAGGAAUACAGUAGAACUGGUGUUGGUAUCUGUCUUUAGAUAAGCUUGCAUAUAUCUUGUCACUGAAAAAGGAAUGUUCAGAAGUGAGAUUAGUGGCAUUAUUCUGACAUGGAUUUCAUAUGGUUACUUGUUUUGCAGUUGACUCAGAUUGAAGGUCAGUUAAUCAUCACUGGGUACUCCCUGGGAGGAUCCGUUGCUUCUCUCUUCACCUUACGCCUGCUAGAUGGCAAUUUAUUAAAGCCCAAAUGCCGCCCCUUUUGUAUCACCUUUGGUUCACCCCUCAUAGGCGACUUUGGCCUCCAACACUCCAUAUGGAAUUCUUUCUUCCUGCAUGUAGUGUCUAACCAAGACCCAGUCCCCGGACUCUUCCUCCCAUCCGGCAGAUCUCCGCCCACAUCCUCCCAUUCACAAACUACCGGUUACAAGCCCUUCGGGACAUAUCUCUUGUGCUCUGAACUUGGUUGUGCUUGUUUUGACAACCCUGAUUUAAUUUUGGGAUUGCUUAAAGUCAUAUCAUCAGAGGUUGCCGGAGGAUUGCAGGAUGUUGAUUAUGGGGAGAUUUUAAGAAACCUCAAGGAGAGGGCAAUCUGCAAGGGACUGCCGCAGGUGGGUGAACGGUUUGCAGAUCCAUUUUCAGCUGGGAUCGUCAUGGAACUUGAGACAAUUGGAUUUAAUCAAACAAAGGUAAACAGCUUUCUCCCAUCUAAUGAUGUUAUGAAACAUGGUUUACACUUCACCAAAUACUGCAAUAACUGCCCUAUUCAGAUUUAUCUUCUUGUUCUUUGGGAUCUUCCAUAACUCGUCUCAUUUUUAAAAUUCAUGGCAGCUGCUGCAGCAUAACAUUGAUAUCAACGCUAUGAUAAGAACAAUGGAAGCUGAAACCAGAAGCCUAAUCCAGAAAAAUAAAGCUUCCGAUGCCAAGAAACUGAAUGACAUAAAAAGAGACAUGGCCCAUCUAGAAUGGUAUAAGAAGAAAUCGGAAAUGGGUUACUACGAUUGCUUCAAAAAUCAGGGGUCUAAAAGGGACAUCAACGUUGAACAGUUUAGGGGAAACCUCACAAUGUACUGGGAAGACAUGGUUGCACAAGUACAGAGGAAGCCCCAGAAGGAAGGAGCAACAUUUCGAACCCGUUGGCUCUAUGCAGGGACAGUUUAUAGGAGAAUGGUUGAACCACUGGACAUUGCUGCCUUCUACAGAGAGGG